AACACGCUGAAAACACCAGUUCUCGUACGAUCCCCAAAGUUAAGCAACGUCGAGCCUGGUUAGUACCUAGAUGGUUGACCGCUUGGGAAUACCAGAUGCUGUAAG
rnacentral:rRNA from 1 species